UUCAUGCAGGCUGCGGUGAGACGCGCGACGUUCUCCUCUUUCCGCGUACCCGAAUAUUUGCUUCGUUCGUUCAGAUUGUGUAAAACAAUGUUAUCUGGUUGGUUGAUGAAAGAAGUACAAUGGACCUGAUUGUGU
rnacentral:sRNA from 1 species